rnacentral:rRNA from 1 species
CGGAGGUGCAAGCGUUAUCCGGAUUCACUGGGUUAAAGGGUGCGUAGGUGGGUUUGUAAGUCAGUGUGAAAUCUCCGUGCCUUAACAUGGAACUGCCAUUGAUACUAUAGAUCUUGAAUUUUCUGGAGGAUAGCGGAAUAUGUCAUGUAGCGGUGAAAUGCUUAGAUAUGACAUAGAACACCAAUUGCGAAGGCAGCUAUCUACA